AAGCACGAACCUUCUUGUAGUGUCUAUCCAGCAAAAGAAGAGAAAACAUAUGCUAUAGUGAGUUUCUCUCAGGCCAUGGCUGAUCUGAACCUUGUGUUCUUGUUCUUCCUCCUCUUGUCUCCUCCCAUCUUAUCCGGUCACUCUCUCUCUCUCUCUCUCACACACACACUCUCUCUCUCUCUGCUACUUGUUGCUCCUGACUCCAGUGAUGGGAACAUCGAUGAAUAGGAGGAGCUUGCUUCAGGCCAAGGGUGGCUGCCCUGUGAGCUUUGAGAACCAGAACUACACGACCAUCACCAGCAAGUGCAAAUCGCCAUGGCCUGCCGACCUCUGCUGCCCAGCUCUGAACGAGUUCGCAUGCAAUUUCAGCCAAUAUAUCAACGACGAAAGCACCAACUGCGCAGAAUCGAUGUGGGUCUACCUCAACGCCCAUGGAAGCUAUCCAGCUGGCCUGUUUUCAAACGAGUGCGCAGUGCUUGACUGCAACGGUAACAAUAGCACCAUUAGUACUAACCAAACUGCUAAUGGAAGCGGCACCCGAGGGGCUAAAGGAAUAUCAGAGAUGUACUCACUUGUGACGACCUUAAUUGUAUCUGGACUCCCGGUGUUAUUGUUCUACUGAAUGAAGUACUCUCUCCGUUUCACAAUGUAAGUCAUUCUAGCAUUUCCCACAUUCAUAUUGAUGCUAAUGAAUCUAGAUAGAUAUAGAAUGACUUACAUUGUAAAACGGAGGAAGUAAGAAAAGAUACACUAUCACACAGAAUGGACAUGUUACAGUUGUGGUAAUAAGUUGCGUUUCAGCAUAUAUAUACAUUACGAGAUAAGAGUACCCCCAGAUUUCCUUUUUUUUUUUUCUUCUUAAUUUUCUUUCAUGGCAUUUACACUCAUUCAAUACAUGUGGAUAUUUUUUUUCUUCUUUUGAGCAAUAAUGCUUCUCUUUACUCUUGUAAAUUUAUGAACUUUUGGUUAAGCUUUUUUUUCCCU
rnacentral:lncRNA from 1 species